CUAUACUGCAGUCGAGCGGACAGAUGGGAGCUUGCUCCCUGAUGUUAGCGGCGGACGGGUGAGUAACACGUGGGUAACCUGCCUGUAAGACUGGGAUAACUCCGGGAAACCGGGGCUAAUACCGGAUGGUUGUUUGAACCGCAUGGUUCAAACAUAAAAGGUGGCUUCGGCUACCACUUACAGAUGGACCCGCGGCGCAUUAGCUAGUUGGUGAGGUAAUGGCUCACCAAGGCAACGAUGCGUAGCCGACCUGAGAGGGUGAUCGGCCACACUGGGACUGAGACACGGCCCAGACUCCUACGGGAGGCAGCAGUAGGGAAUCUUCCGCAAUGGACGAAAGUCUGACGGAGCAACGCCGCGUGAGUGAUGAAGGUUUUCGGAUCGUAAAGCUCUGUUGUUAGGGAAGAACAAGUACCGUUCGAAUAGGGCGGUACCUUGACGGUACCUAACCAGAAAGCCACGGCUAACUACGUGCCAGCAGCCGCGGUAAUACGUAGGUGGCAAGCGUUGUCCGGAAUUAUUGGGCGUAAAGGGCUCGCAGGCGGUUUCUUAAGUCUGAUGUGAAAGCCCCCGGCUCAACCGGGGAGGGUCAUUGGAAACUGGGGAACUUGAGUGCAGAAGAGGAGAGUGGAAUUCCACGUGUAGCGGUGAAAUGCGUAGAGAUGUGGAGGAACACCAGUGGCGAAGGCGACUCUCUGGUCUGUAACUGACGCUGAGGAGCGAAAGCGUGGGGAGCGAACAGGAUUAGAUACCCUGGUAGUCCACGCCGUAAACGAUGAGUGCUAACUGUUAGGGGGUUUCCGCCCCUUAGUGCUGCAGCUAACCUAUUAAGCACUCCGCCUGGGGAGUACGGUCCCAAGACUGAAACUCAAAGGAAUUGACGGGGGCCCGCACAAGCGGUGGAACAUGCGGCUUAAUUCUAACCAACGCG
rnacentral:rRNA from 1 species